CAGCAGCCCGAGUGGUGGUCGUUUUUAUUGGGCCUAAAGCGUCCGUAGCCGGUCUAGUAAAUCCUUGGAUAAAUCGUACAGCUUAACUGUACGGUUUCUGGGGAGACUGCUAGACUUGGGACUGGGAGAGGUUGGAGGUACUCCAGGGGUAGGGGUGAAAUCUUGUAAUCCUUGGGGGACCACCAGUGGCGAAGGCGUCCGACCAGAACGGGUCCGACGGUAAGGGACGAAGCCCUGGGUCGCGAACCGGAUUAGAUACCCGAGUAGUCC
rnacentral:rRNA from 1 species